AUUGAACGCUGGCGGCAUGCCUAACACAUGCAAGUCGAACGGUAACAGGCCUUCGGGCGCUGACGAGUGGCGGACGGGUGAGUAAUGCAUAGGAAAUUGCCUUGAAGUGGGGGAUAGCCCGGAGAAAUCCGGAUUAAUACCGCAUAUGCUCUACGGAGCAAAGUGGGCCUCUGAUUUAAGCUCAUGCUUUGAGAUAUGCCUAUGUCGGAUUAGCUUGUUGGUGGGGUAAAAGCCUACCAAGGCGACGAUCCGUAGCUGGUUUGAGAGGAUGAUCAGCCACACUGGGACUGAGACACGGCCCAGACUCCUACGGGAGGCAGCAGUGGGGAAUAUUGGACAAUGGGCGCAAGCCUGAUCCAGCAAUGCCGCGUGUGUGAAGAAGGCCUGCGGGUUGUAAAGCACUUUUAUCGGGAAAGAAAUCC
rnacentral:rRNA from 1 species